AAGGUGAUUGUAAGCCAGUGAGUAGGUCCAUCUAGCUGUGUGGAUCAGUGAGAAAUUUAACAGAGCUCUGAGGAGAGAUUUCUUGAGCUAAGUCCUGAGUCCAGCAUAGGAGACCACCAUUAACAAGAUCACCUGGAAGGAACGACGUUUUUUCCUCAAGCCGAACUACCAGAACCACCAAAAUUUCUCAUCUGCUAUGACUUUGAUAACACUAAGUAUUAGAAGGGGAUGUUAAUGUCUAGUUCACUGGUGUGUAGUGAUCCUAGCACUUGGCAUGUACAUAUGGGGAUCCGACUCCCCUAUACCCUGCCUAACACCAACCCGAUGGUUUAACAUGAAAUGUGCCUUCUCUGGCCUUCACUAUUCUUCUGUGAUAUGGUCAGAGGUUUUUUCCUUUUUAUAUCCUGUCUUACUUCUUGACACAGUCCCAUUCACAGUAAUCCCACAAUAAGGAGGAUUGGAGGUGCAGCUGCCUCAACUCCUGCUCUUCACUCAGUUUUCUUCACCAGCCUUUUGUCUCUUUUUGUCUUUCAGGUCCAGUGGAACUCCAGUCUGAUUUGCUGCUACUCAGAUCCCACCAGCCUCGCUCGGUGCUGUUUGUGUCCAGCAUGGGAAGCACCCUCACCAUCUGCUGCCUGCAUUGCUUCCCCCGUGUCUUUCCUGGUGCCGGCUUUUAUUCCAGCCAGGCGGUGUCCUAGGAUGAUGUCCUCCACCCAUGCUGGCUCCAGCUGGAAAUAAGGGCAGCUCACAAACCUCACAGGUGUUUUCUGCUGGCAUGGCUCACCCAUCUCCUUGUGUCCUGAAAUUGGUAAAUUUUCCCUGGUUUUAGGGCUUUUCUUGUAGGGGCGGGUCACCCCCAUCCCCAGUCCUACUGCAGGGAGGGUCUCCUGUCCCCCAAUGCCUGGGACAGUGAGCUUGGACAAAAGUUCCCUGCUCUGAUCACUUGAGCCCCAGAGAGCCAGUCAGUGUCUGACUUUUGAUGUUCAUUUGGAUUACAGGGAUCCAGACUCAAUAAAUUAUUUCUCAUUACACUGAA